UAGUCCUGGGCAAAGAACGACCCGAGAACGUUGAAACAUCACUCUCGGUGGGCCGGUUUCUUAGCUGAUUUCGUGCCUACCGAUUCCGUGGUUAUGCGUUCGUCACCGGCCCAGUUUCGGUUGGAUCAUACGCAUAGCUUCCGGAUAUCACCAAACCCCGGCACGAAAAGUGUCAAGGAACAUUCAACUAAACGGCCUGCUUUCGCCAACCCGGAGACGGUGUUUGUUCGGAAGCAGUGCUGCAAUGUAAAGUCUAAAACGACUCUCGGCAACGGAUAUCUCGGCUCUCGCAUCGAUGAAGAACGUAGCGAAAUGCGAUACUUGGUGUGAAUUGCAGAAUCCCGUGAACCAUCGAGUCUUUGAACGCAAGUUGCGCCCCAAGCCUUCUGGCCGAGGGCACGUCUGCCUGGGUGUCACAAAUCGUCGUCCCCCCAUCCUCUCGAGGAUAUCGGACGGAAGCUGGUCUCCCGUGUGUUACCGCACGCGGUUGGCCAAAAUCCUAGCUAAGGAUGCCAGGAGCGUCUUGACAUGCGGUGGUGAAUUCAAUUCUCGUCAAAUCGUCAGUCGUUUCGGUCCGAAAGCUCUUGAUGACCCAAAGUCCUCAACGCGACCCCAGGUCAGGCGGGAUCACCCGCUGAGUUUAAGCAUAUCAAUAAGGCGGAGGAACCA
rnacentral:rRNA from 1 species